rnacentral:rRNA from 1 species
AGCGAACGCUGGCGGCAGGCCUAACACAUGCAAGUCGAGCGCCGUAGCAAUACGGAGCGGCAGACGGGAGAGUAACACGUGGGAACGUGCCCUUUGGUUCGGAACAACCCAGGGAAACUUGGGCUAAUACCGGAUAAGCCCUUACGGGGAAAGAUUUAUCGCCGAAGGAUCGGCCCGCGUCUGAUUAGCCAGUUGGGGGGGUAAUGGCCAACCAAGGCAACGAUCAGUAGCUGGUCUGAGAGGCUGAUCAGCCUCAAUGGGACGGAGACACGGCCCAGACUCCUACGGGAGGCAGCAGUGGGGAAUAUUGGACAAUGGGCGCAAGCCUGAUCCAGCCAUGCCGCGUGGGUGAUGAAGGCCCUAGGGUUGUAAAGCCCUUUCGGCGGGGAAGAUAAUGACGGUACCCGCAGAAGAAGCCCCGGCUAACUUCGUGCCAGCCGCCGCAGUAA